rnacentral:rRNA from 1 species
AGAGUUUGAUCCUGGCUCAGGAUGAACGCUAGCUACAGGCUUAACACAUGCAAGUCGAGGGGAAACGAUAGAGAAAGCUUGCUUUUUCUAGGCGUCGACCGGCGCACGGGUGAGUAACGCGUAUCCAACCUGCCCAUCACUUGGGGAUAACCUUGCGAAAGUAAGACUAAUACCCAAUGACGUCUCUAGAAGACAUCUGAAAGAGAUUAAAGAUUUAUCGGUGAUGGAUGGGGAUGCGUCUGAUUAGCUUGUUGGCGGGGUAACGGCCCACCAAGGCGACGAUCAGUAGGGGUUCUGAGAGGAAGGUCCCCCACAUUGGAACUGAGACACGGUCCAAACUCCUACGGGAGGCAGCAGUGAGGAAUAUUGGUCAAUGGGCGAGAGCCUGAACCAGCCAAGUAGCGUGCAGGAUGACGGCCCUAUGGGUUGUAAACUGCUUUUAUAAGGGAAUAAAGUGAGUCUCGUGAGACUUUUUGCAUGUACCUUAUGAAUAAGGACCGGCUAAUUCCGUGCCAGCAGCCGCGGUAAUACGGAAGGUCCGGGCGUUAUCCGGAUUUAUUGGGUUUAAAGGGAGCGUAGGCCGGAGAUUAAGCGUGUUGUGAAAUGUAGACGCUCAACGUCUGCACUGCAGCGCGAACUGGUUUCCUUGAGUACGCACAAAGUGGGCGGAAUUCGUGGUGUAGCGGUGAAAUGCUUAGAUAUCACGAAGAACUCCGAUUGCGAAGGCAGCUCACUGGAGCGCAACUGACGCUGAAGCUCGAAAGUGCGGGUAUCGAACAGGAUUAGAUACCCUGGUAGUCCGCACGGUAAACGAUGGAUGCCCGCUGUUGGUCUGAAUAGGUCAGCGGCCAAGCGAAAGCAUUAAGCAUCCCACCUGGGGAGUACGCCGGCAACGGUGAAACUCAAAGGAAUUGACG